ACUCAUCGUACUUCGUCGAGUGGAUUCCGAACAACGUGAAAUCAAGCGUCUGCGAUAUAGCUCCCACGGGUUUGAAAAUGGCGUCGACUUUCAUAGGAAACUCGACUUCGAUCCAGGAGAUGUUCAGGCGUGUGAGUGAACAGUUCACUGCUAUGUUCAGGAGGAAGGCUUUCUUGCAUUGGUACACGGGAGAAGGGAUGGACGAGAUGGAGUUCACGGAAGCUGAGAGUAACAUGAACGAUCUUGUUGCAGAGUACCAGCAAUAUCAGGAUGCUACAGUCGGUGAAGAAGAGUAUGAGGAGGACGAAGAAGAGUAUGAGGAAGAAGCUUAAGAAGACAUGGUUG
rnacentral:lncRNA from 1 species